rnacentral:sRNA from 1 species
CCCCAUUUCUUCAUCUUCCGUGCCAUUCUUGCUAACCCUCUGUCGGUUUCUAUGUCUGUUCUGCCACUUAGGCUUCUGUCUGACACAUUUUCCCAGCCUUGCGAGUGACUCUAGAUUGUCUCACCCCGCUCCAAAUUUCUGAUUAACGUGUGCAAGAUAUCCGCUGUGAGGAUACUAUCCUGUUCAGUUGUAUCUUUCGCCGUUCCUCUUCCCUCUUCUCUGCCGCCUCCCUAGCCUUCCGCAUGUCUUUUCUCGACACACCUUCCAGCCAAGUAUCGUGAAUAGCAUCUGGAUCUGUAGCUUUGCGAACAAAGUUCCCGGCCUCGUCAAAACGCCCCUCUUCCUGCUCCGCUCGCAUAUUGAAAGCAUCUAAUAGUGGCACGUGUGUUUUUUUCCCGCCAGCCCCCAGCUCUUCAUCCACGUCUGACCCGAUCCUGGCGCGUUCUUGUUCGUCGACUUCGCUUUCACUCUCUCCUUCCUCACCUAGUGCCACUUGAAUCAUUUUGCCGUGACUAUCC